rnacentral:rRNA from 1 species
AAUCAACGCUGGCGGCGUGCCUCAGACAUGCAAGUCGAACGAUUAAAGCUCUCUUCGGAGAGUGCAUAGAGUGGCGCACGGGUGAGUAACACGUAAGUAAUCUACCCUCGAGUGGGGAAUAACAGUCGGAAACGACUGCUAAUACCGCAUAAUGCAGCGGCACCGCAAGGUGACAGUUGUUAAAGGAGCAAUCCGCUUGAGGAGGAGCUUGCGGCAGAUUAGCUAGUUGGUAGGGUAAUGGCUUACCAAGGCUAAGAUCUGUAUCCGGUCUAAGAGGACGGUCGGACACACUGACACUGAAUAACGGGUCAGACUCCUACGGGAGGCAGCAGUCGGGAAUUUUGGGCAAUGGGCGAAAGCCUGACCCAGCAACGCCGCGUGAAGGAUGAAGUAUUUCGGUGUGUAAACUUCGAAAGAAUAGGAAGAAUAAAUGACGGUACUAUUUAUAAGCUCCGGCUAACUACGUGCCAGCAGCCGCUGUAACAC